AUUUUAUCAUCAAAACUAUUAAAUAAAAAACAAGAGAGAUUACUCCCUCCUCUCCUCCCUCUCUGGUUGUGAGCCUAGAAGGUGGGACUCCCAUAAUGAUCAAGGUACACCCUAACGUCAGCGCCAUCCCUUCCGAGAAGACGACGCUUAAGUCCUCUUCUAAUUUAGAGGCAGCUGAUGCUGUUGUAUUAACUGUGUGGAAGAAGUCUUUG
rnacentral:misc_RNA from 1 species